rnacentral:lncRNA from 1 species
CGGGGAGGCGGCGUGGCAGGGGCCGCGAGCGGCGGCGGCGCGCCCGCGCGAGACGGUGGGGGCGGCGCAGGGGACCGCGGGCGGUGGGGCGGCGCCGCGCCGAGGCUGCCUGAGGUGGCGCACGGCAAAGGCGGGGGAGGCGCGCGGGGGCUGCGCGCGGCAGAGGCGGAGGAGGCACGCGGAGGCUGCGCGCGGCAGAGGCGGGCGAGGUGCAUCGAGGCAGAGCGCGACGCGAUUCCGGCGUGCUUCUCCGCUCCCGCUCUUCCUCCUUCUACUGCGUCAUUCCCGCCGGUGAGUCUCCUAUUUCUUCGCCGGCCCCCAAUUUCUGCGAGCUCUCUGGUUGAAUUUUGGCAAAUCAGUGCUAUGUGCUCUACGAUUUGUUGGUUGUUUCCUGCGAUUUCCUGGACAUGCACAGCGUAUGGUGGGGCUGCACCGCUGCGACAUCUUGUGAGUUUGGCGGUACUUCAGGUAAUUUGGCGGGGUGCAGCAGCAUGUGGGUUUUGCGAUGGUUGACAUGCACAGCACCUUGUUCAUGCACAGCGAUUUGGGCUAGGGUUUGACAUUUGCAGGCGUACUGGAUAGUGUGUUUGACGUUGUGCUUGGCUGUGGGUGGGGUGGGGUGUGCUGUGUGCUUGGUGACAUGGGGAUUGAUCUCAGCUUGUGGGUUUAUACUAGGUUUGAUGCAAUUCACCCGCUGCUAAAAUAGUCGAUGUCUAUUUUCUUUUUCAUGAGACGAGCUCCUGGUCAUGGUAAGUUUUGGUUUAGCCAGCUACUUUUGUACAUUAAUUUAGGUGUUUUGAAAUACCUGGUAGUCGUCAACACAGACCCUGAUAAUUUUAAUAGGAAUUUCUGUACCGAACAGCCUAGUAGUUGUUACCAUACAACCUUGUAAAGAACCUAGUACCUAUUUGGAAAAAGCAUGGUAGCUAAUUAUAAAGAACAUGAUAGCUAUUUUCAAAGAACUUGGCAACUAUUUUUGUAAAGAACAUAGUUAAUUGGAAAGAACAUGGCAAUUGUUUGUAAAGGACCUGGCAAUUAUUUGUAAAGAAUCUGUUAGGUGUUUAAAAUGAACCUGGCAAUUGUUUGCGGAGAAUCUUGUAGGUGAUUGGAAAGAGCCUGGUAGCGCUGAUUGGAACCUAGUAGCUAUAGGGGGAAAAUUGAUAAUGUACAUAUAGGAAACCAGGACAGUUCAUUGUCAAGAUCAUAGCAGUUGUUAUAGUGUUUUGUAUAGACCCUGGCAACUGUUUUUAUAAAACCUGGCAACUGUUUGUAAAGAACCUGGUAGUUGUUUUUUGUAAAGAACAUGUGAAUUUGUUUUUUGGAAAGAACCUGGCAACCUGGCAAUUGUCUGUAGAAAACGUGGCAAUUGUUUGCAGAAAACGUGGCAAUUGUUUGUAGAAAACCUGGCAAUUUGAUUUCUAAAUAGCCUGGCAAUUUAUUUUCUAAAUAACCUGGCUACUGUUUGUAAAUAACGUGGCAACUAUUUGUAUAAAACUUGGCAACUGUUUGUAAAGAACCUGGUAGUUGUUUUUGAAAAGAACCUGUCAAUUUGUUUUUUUUAAGAACCUGGCAACUGUUUAUAAAGAACCUGGUAAUUGUUUGCAGAAAACAUGGCAAUUGUUUGUAGAAAACCUGGCAAUUUGGGGUGCGUUUGGUUCCGUCUCCUAGCAAGGCUAUUGCUGAGCUAGUCUAGCUGCUCAACUCGCAUUGGUUAAGGUCGUUUGUAGCUCUGCGUUUGGUUUGACUUGAUUGCCCGUGUGAGCUCCUAGGGAGAUCGUGGGUUGCGCAAUAUUCAGUAGAGGUUUUUGUUCGCACAAAGACAUCUUGCCAUCGAGGGAGAACCAAUUUGGUUCUCCCUUACGAGCAAGGUUUUUCUGGCCCGCACCGGCUAACUCUUCGUCAAAAGCUAGAAAUUAUUUUGGACACCAAACACCAAACCUGGCUUAGAAAGGCUAUAACUGUUUUUGCUCUGGAACCAAACUGACCCUUGGUUUCUAAAUAACCUGGCAACUGUUUGGGCAAUUGUUUGUAGAAACCUGGCAAUCUGAUUUUAAAUAAUUUGGCAAUUUGUUUUCUAAAGAACCUACAAUUUGUCUGUAAGAAUCUGGCAAUUGUUUGUACAGUUCAUUUCUUUUCGUUUUCUUUUAUUGUCAUUAAUAGUGAGAUAUAUAUGCUUUCAUAUGCGUUUCUCAACGUGAAUGGCCGUUGAUCAGUUUUGUUGCCAAGGAAGUGAUGUUCCUAACUUGUUGGGUCAAGAAAAGCUGCUAGGCAUCGAUGGCCAGUAAAUGUCUAUGGGAGAAGGUAACCGGUGAUCUAGAUCAACAACCUCGACAAUAUACAUAUGGCGGAGGUGAUGGAGAUGAAUAAGAUUCUCGAGGCAAUAAAGAGUUCAAAGAAAUGGGUUUCGUUUGCCCCCAUAAAAUGUUCAUUUGCAAAUUUGUAUAUUUGGCUUCAUGAUGCCUGAGAAAGUGGUGCUGCAAUUUUUAGCUGUGAAGGCUAAAUUUUUGAUGGGUUUGGAAGAUGCUGUUUUAUUGGUUUUGCUAGAGGAAGUGAUGGUGCUGUCUAUACACAUGUGUGCCUGUGUGAAUGUAUGAGUCUACUUUUGUUGUUGGGAAAAAAUGGACCUGUUUGAAAAAUAAAUUUAUGAGAAAGCUGUGUAUGCAAGGACGAGUUUAAAAUGCUUAAGGGGAUUCCCGUUGCUGUGCUGUUGCUUACGCGCAAGUCCGCACGGCAAGCUGUAGCCUGGUUGGCACGCCGCUGCUUAGCACUAGGUGGGGCACGCCGCUGCGUAGUACUGUCCUUCUUUCACUGCACAAGUUUUGUCUCCU